UAACGCAACUCACUGGGGGCUAUAAAACUGCAAGAAUGAAUUUAAAGUCCCAUAGAAAGUGUCAUUAUUGUUUGUUUGUUUGUUUUUACAGACAUUAAAGUAUUGGGCCAUGUUCAGCUCUCCCUUUGUGGCCUUCUACGCUGUUGGCCUUGUCCUCGACAGCCAAGAAACAUAUCUAGUCAAGUUUGGUCUUCUCUUUAUUAUGGGCCUAGCCACCAUGUUCCUCUCCAAAUGUUUAUUUGAUGAACGCACUAUGAACAUUCUCCCAAUGGCUGUGUACCUGGCCACAAAGUUCUGGAUGUAUAUCACGUGGGUGACAGACCUGUGGCCUUUAAUAUGUUCAACAUGGUCGCAGCUGUGAACAUCAGGACAUUUCAAUUCCCGAGGUAAAUCCUCCCUUGGCAUUCCUACGUCCGGUCUAACGUCUGUGGCUUUUGCCAACCU
rnacentral:lncRNA from 1 species